rnacentral:misc_RNA from 1 species
UCCGGCUUAUCACCGGCAGUCCCACUAGAGUGCCCAACUUAAUGAUGGCAACUAAUGGCGAGGGUUGCGCUCGUUGCGGGACUUAACCCAACGUCUCACGACACGAGCUGACGACAGCCAUGCAGCACCUGUGUCCAGGUUCCCUUUCGGGCACCCCCGCAUCUCUGCGGGGUUCCUGGCAUGUCAAGGGUAGGUAAGGUUCUUCGCGUUGCAUCGAAUUAAUCCACAUAAUCCACCGCUUGUGCGGGUCCCCGCCAAUUCCUUUGAGUUUCAACCUUGCGGUCGUACUCCCCAGGCGGGGUACUUCCUGCGUUAGCGCCGGCACCCAGAGGGUCGCUCCCCAGGCACCUAGUACCCAUCGUUUACGGCGUGGACUAC